UACGUAGGUGGCAAGCGUUGUCCGGAAUUAUUGGGCGUAAAGCGCGCGCAGGCGGUUCCUUAAGUCUGAUGUGAAAGCCCACGGCUCAACCGUGGAGGGUCAUUGGAAACUGGGGAACUUGAGUGCAGGAGAGAAGAGUGGAAUUCCACGUGUAGCGGUGAAAUGCGUAGAGAUGUGGAGGAACACCAGUGGCGAAGGCGACUCUUUGGCCUGUAACUGACGCUGAGGCGCGAAAGCGUGGGGAGCGAACAGG
rnacentral:rRNA from 1 species